UAGGAUUACAAGAUAGGAGCCUAAAAAAUCCUGAAAAUUAGGGCCUUGCCACCUUUUGUUAGAAGACUUGUGUUAUAGGAUUUUUGAUAGACAGGAUUCGACAAAAGGACUUAGUCAUAACAUAAAUAACAUAAAAAUGGAUUGUGCAAAAAUCCAUAGUUUUUUAUUAUUAUUUAUUCUAGUUAUUCUAGUAAAAUAUAAAAUAAAUGGAAAUAAAAAGAAAUAGGAAGAAAGAAAAAGAAUAGAAAUAAUAUUUUGAUUCUAUAUCAUAGGAACGGAAAUAGGACUUCUUCC
rnacentral:lncRNA from 1 species